GGUGAAGAACGCAGCGAAAUGCGAUAAGUAAUGUGAAUUGCAGAAUUCAGUGAAUCAUCGAAUCUUUGAACGCACCUUGCGCCCUUUGGCUAUUCCGAAGGGCAUGCCUGUUUGAGUAUCAUGAACACCUCAACUCUCAUGGCUUGCCAUGAAGAGCUUGGACUAUGGGGGUCUUGCUGGCCUGUGGUCGGCUCCUCUCAAAUGAAUCAGCUUGCCGGUGUUUGGUGGCGUCACAGGUGUGAUAACUAUCUACGCUUGUGGUGUUUUCCACCAGGUAACCUUCAGCAAUGGAGGUUCGCUGGGGCUCAUAAAAGUCUCUCCUCGGUGAGGACAGCUCUUUUGAACGUUUGAUCUCAAAUCAGGUAGGACUACCCGCUGAACUUAAGCAUAUCAAUAAGCGGAGGA
rnacentral:misc_RNA from 1 species